ensembl:lncRNA
AUUCAAGGCCAGGCUGGAUAUGGCUCUGGGCAGCCUGGUGUAGUGUGGCAAUCCUGCACAUAGCAGGGGGGUUGAAACUAGAUGACCAUUAUUGUCUGUUUCAACCCAGGCCAUUCUAUGAUUCUAUGAUCCUCUCAGCUGAAGAAAAUAAAAAGAACUUUCAGGUAUCAUGCAUAGAGAGAAUGCUUACAUAAACUACUUCUUUCAUUUUGGAAUAGAGUCUUCAUCUGAUCUUUGGAAAAAAAGGCAGUUUAGCCUUUUGAAUGCUAUGUAAACAAACACUGGGAUGCCAACUGAACAACUCUGAAGCCUACAAAUAAUUUUGUUUAGAUGUAUUUCCUCUACUUUUAGAAUUGACUUCUGUGCAAAAUCAUGCACAAGAUACAGAUAGCAUGGCAAGGAUAGUCCACGCAUGAUCUAUAGGAAUAAGGUUGUAUGUCCAGAAUUAUCUGAAACUCUGUCUACCUCUCUCAUUUGCUCAAACUAUGCAGAUGUCCUAUUUAGAUCUCUGAAAUUGAAUUGCAUGAAUAAUCUUAAAUUAUCUUAAUGAGUGUGUUAUCUUAGUCAGUCAGGUAGAUUCUGGUUUAAAGGCUACUUGCACCAUCUUAACUCUUUUUCUACAGAAUAUGUUGAGUCAAGGUGUACUGAAUCACAGAAUGGCAAAUGCAAGGAGAACAAGUCUUCAUAAGAAUAUUACCUCAUUUGUUACAUAAGCUGGAAGGUAUGCAGUGAAUAAAAUAUGCACAGCACUGCUGGAGCAGGAAAAGACUUAAUUGCAAAGGCAGUAAAAUGCUUCUUUGUAAGCAAAGAAUCCUCUCCUCCUGCAGAUUCUGAAGCAUGUAAUUUUUUUUUCAUAUGUAGUAACUGUAUUCUCUUCUUAGCAGUAUCUAGUGAUAAUUUUUAAAGCUCUGAUUAUGUUGUUGACCAUUUCCCUUCCCUUCUAUGAAUGCUGCUCUCUGCUGCUGAAUCCAUGGUGCUGGCAGUGUUAUCUUGCAGUGCUUGAAGUCAUGACACAAUAAAGCUGAG